UACGUAGGGCGCAAGCGUUAUCCGGAAUUAUUGGGCGUAAAGAGCUCGUAGGCGGUUUGUCGCGUCUGCUGUGAAAGACCGGGGCUCAACUCCGGUUCUGCAGUGGGUACGGGCAGACUAGAGUGCAGUAGGGGAGACUGGAAUUCCUGGUGUAGCGGUGAAAUGCGCGGAUAUCAGGAGGAACACCGAUGGCGAAGGCAGGUCUCUGGGCUGUAACUGACGCUGAGGAGCGAAAGCAUGGGGAGCGAACAGG
rnacentral:rRNA from 1 species